GUUCGUUCUUUAUUUACCUCCGAUGGAAACUGGUCUUAAUAAACAUGGUCCGAGAUCGAGAUGGAAAAAAACAACAGCUUUUGCACACCGUGUUAAUUAAUGCAACGUUAAUGAAUGCUGUAUUCGGUAUUAUAAUAAUAUAUUCAAUGACAAAUAAGUAUAUUAUUGAUAAUGAGGAGGAAAACAAUCAAUUAUACUUAAAGUGAGUCUAAUACAAUAAUAACGCGUUCACUAGCGAUAUUGAGUCGUUUCAUCUUACCGUCCAAAUGGAAUCUAUGCAACUGGCUGUACACAAGAUGGACCACAGUGGGCAGAACAAACAAUGGCAUUUAAAAAAAGUUUUGCAAAGGGAGACAUGCAGUACCAGCAAAUCUUCUGCAAGAGGUCCAAAAAGUUGGUGGUUAAGAAGACCUACACCGCAUUCGGUAGAGUCUUAUCCAGCUGGCCGUUCACCGCAGACAGGACAAGACCAUUCGCCAUAAGCACAAAGAGUCUCAGCUUCCCCAGCCCACCAUGCCAAACAUCAUUGCCAGUGUACCGAAGCCGGAUAAAGGACUAUCGCUGAGUUUACACAAGCAGCCAAAUUCUGAUAGUUUUUUUGACUAAUUGGUAUUUUGACCAAUUAGAUCGGUUCUGAAAAAAUAUCUGAUGUGAUUAAGACCAAUUAGUGGGAAAAAGAUCAGAAUUGGGCUGCCUGUGUAAACAAAGCCAGUAUUGCUCAGCAUAAGACCGUGUAGAACCACCAUCAAAUAAAUAUGGAUCUUUUCUAUCAA